rnacentral:rRNA from 1 species
GAAUCUUCCGCAAUGGACGAAAGUCUGACGGAGCAACGCCGCGUGAGCGAUGAAGGCCUUCGGGUCGUAAAGCUCUGUUGUUAGGGAAGAACAAGUAUCGUUCGAAUAGGGCGGUACCUUGACGGUACCUAACCAGAAAGCCACGGCUAACUACGUGCCAGCAGCCGCGGUAAUACGUAGGUGGCAAGCGUUGUCCGGAAUUAUUGGGCGUAAAGCGCGCGCAGGCGGUUCCUUAAGUCUGAUGUGAAAGCCCCCGGCUCAACCGGGGAGGGUCAUUGGAAACUGGGGAACUUGAGUACUGAAGAGGAAAGCGGAAUUCCACGUGUAGCGGUGAAAUGCGUAGAGAUGUGGAGGAACACCAGUGGCGAAGGCGGCUUUCUGGUCAGUAACUGACGCUGAGGCGCGAAAGCGUGGGGAGCAAACAG